CCUAUACAUUACAAAUUAAACUA
rnacentral:miRNA from 1 species